rnacentral:tRNA from 1 species
UUAAUUGAAGCCAAAACCGAGGCCCCUUAUUGUUAAUAAGGUAAAUGGUUAUAUAAUAGCCCAAUUAAA